AUUGAACGCUGGCGGCAGGCUUAACACAUGCAAGUCGAGCGGGGUGAUGGUGCUUGCACUAUCACUUAGCGGCGGACGGGUGAGUAAUGCUUAGGAAUCUGCCUAUUAGUGGGGGACAACAUCUCGAAAGGGAUGCUAAUACCGCAUACGUCCUACGGGAGAAAGCAGGGGAUCACUUGUGACCUUGCGCUAAUAGAUGAGCCUAAGUCGGAUUAGUUAGUUGGUGGGGUAAAGGCCUACCAAGGCGACGAUCUGUAGCGGGUCUGAGAGGAUGAUCCGCCACACUGGGACUGAGACACGGCCCAGACUCCUACGGGAGGCAGCAGUGGGGAAUAUUGGACAAUGGGGGGAACCCUGAUCUAGCCAUGCCGCGUGUGUGAAGAAGGCCUUAUGGUUGUAAAGCACUUUAAGCGAGGAGGAGGCUCUUUUGGUUAAUACCCAGAAUGAGUGGACGUUACUCGCAGAAUAAGCACCGGCUAACUUCGUGCCAGCCGCCGCGGUAACAC
rnacentral:rRNA from 1 species